UACGAGUGCCCCAAGCGUUAUCCGGAAUUAUUGGGCGUAAAGAGCGUGUAGGCGGCCAUGCAGGUCAGCUGUGAAAACUCGAUGGCUCAACCUCGAGAUGUCGGUUGAAACCGUGUGGCUAGAGUCCGGAAGAGGAGAGUGGAAUUCCCGGUGUAGCGGUGAAAUGCGCAGAUAUCGGGAAGAACACCCGUGGCGAAGGCGGCUCUCUGGGACGGUACUGACGCUGAGACGCGAAAGCGUGGGGAGCGAACAGG
rnacentral:rRNA from 1 species